AGGCAGCUCCGUAGCAUGAGGAAGAGUCGGGCACAGAGAGGUGGAGAAAGACCUAAAAUUAGUUUCAGUAACAAAAUAUCAGAUACGAAAAUUGCCAGAUGUGCUACAACUAGAGUUAAUAUUAAGACCAGAGCAUCAGAUUCAGUUUGACCAAGUCUUUGACAAUUAUCCUGACCAGGAGAAGACCGCUGAUCUUAGAAACAGACACAUCACCUUCACUUUGGGAUAUGGAAUUUGAUAAGCAGUUAGCCACAGAAUAUGAACAACCCCUUUAAAAUGAGAUUGCAGUGCUGAUCCAGUGGACAAAAGAGGGGAAACUGAGAGUUCCCGAUUGACAAUGAAGCAGAAUACAAGCGAUGGUGGCAGAGGGAGGAAGUAACUCACACCAGGAAGAACAAACAGCUGCUGGAAUAUGCUUGUGGUUUAGAGCUUCUUUUAAAAAUCCUGUCAGCUGCAAAGAAAGGAAGGACUAAUAUUUUCCAUGAUGUCAGUAACAUCUUUAUGAAGAUGUUCCUUUUGAAUGUGGUACAGAAAGUUGGAAAACACUUAGGCAUAGUAUCUGGCAUAGUGCCCCUUAGGGAGCACUUCAUAUACAGACGGUCUGGGGCUUAGGAUGGUUUGACUUAAAAUUUUUUGACUUUAUGAUGGUUCCAAAGGUGAUGCACAUUCAGAAGAAAGCGAACUUUGAGUCCCCAUACAACUAUCCUGUUUUUCAUGUUUAGGACAUUGUUCCCAUAAAUUACAUGAGGUAUUCAGCCCUCUAUAAUAAAAAAUAAUUUAUGUUAGAUGAUUUUGCUCA
ensembl:lncRNA